GGCAUAUUCACCUCUUCUCACACAUACUGUACGUUGGAUGUCAUCAAGCCUUUUUUUUUAACUGAAAUAUAAUUGGUAUACAAUAUUAAUACAGUCUUUUUUUAGUUCAUUGGUGUACCCAUCUCCAUGCAAGUUUUGGUAAGGGGAGACAAAAGAAGAAGAAAUUCUAGUGUUUGAUGUCAUCAUCAUCAUCAUCAUCAUCCCAAACAUUUAUUAAAAACCUUGGCCAGUCAUCUGAGAUAUCACCUUACUGGCAAGACUACAUGGCACUUAGACCACACUGCUUAAUGGACUCCUGUGAGAGGAAAGGGGUUGGCUCAUCAAGCAAGAUGGUCUCUCUGAAUCAGAUCUGCUUGGUGCAAGUGCGAAAGAGACCACAGAUGGAAGCUCACAGAUGGAAGCCUGCUGAUCAUACAGCUGUUUCUUUGUUGGUCCCACUGAUCUUCCCGGGAAGGAAAUGGACAGCUGUCACACUCUGGCCCACUAGGCAUUGGUUGCCAACUGGGAAAGUCAUCAGAAAACUUCCUUGAAAUGGUCAUUGGGUAAGUCAUUUGGAUAUUGCUCUCAGCUACAUCUGUUCCUCAUACUGAGAGUCAGUGUGUUGGUUUCCUAAGGGCUGGCUCUUAAAUCUACCAUAUCUUGUUUUAAUAAUGAACACAAUCAGAUUUGUUUGGACUUUGGAAAAUUAUACCCGCUGAAGCCCCAAUUUUUUCAUGCAGGUAGAGUCUAAUAAAACAAUUUUUAGGGGUAGAAUGAAAGGUCCA
rnacentral:lncRNA from 1 species